rnacentral:pre_miRNA from 1 species
GAGAGAGAGAGAGAGAGAGAGAGAGAGAGAGAGAGAGAGAGAGAGAGAGAAAGAGAAUAGAGAAUAGAGAAAUCCUUUUCAAAUUAUAAAUAAGGGAAGCUAAGAGAUGAUUUCCUCUUCCUUUUUCUCUCUAUAUUUCUGUCUCUCUCUCCCUCUCUAUCUCUCUCUCUAGCUCUCUCCCUCUCUAUAUUU